AAUGCACCCGAUCUCGUCUGAUCUCAGAAGCUCAG
rnacentral:rRNA from 1 species